rnacentral:SRP_RNA from 1 species
GCCCGGACACGGUGGCGUGCACCUGUAUUCCCAGCUACUUGGGAGGCUGAGACAGGAGGAUCGCUUGAGUCCAGGAGUUCUGAGCUGUAGUGUGCUAUGCAGAUUGGGUGUCGGCACUAAGUUCGACAUCAAUAUGGUGAUCUCCCAGGAAUUGCAACUGCACUCCAGCCUAGGCAACAUAGCGAGACCCUGUCUCUU